GACGAACGCUGGCGGCGCGCCUAAUACAUGCAAGUCGAACGCUUCUUUCCUCCCGAGUGCUUGCACUCAAUUGGAAAGAGGAGUGGCGGACGGGUGAGUAACACGUGGGUAACCUACCCAUCAGAGGGGGAUAACACUUGGAAACAGGUGCUAAUACCGCAUAACAGUUUAUGCCGCAUGGCAUAAGAGUGAAAGGCGCUUUCGGGUGUCGUUGAUGGAUGGACCCGCGGUGCAUUAGCUAGUUGGUGAGGUAACGGCUCACCAAGGCCACGAUGCAUAGCCGACCUGAGAGGGUGAUCGGCCACACUGGGACUGAGACACGGCCCAGACUCCUACGGGAGGCAGCAGUAGGGAAUCUUCGGCAAUGGACGAAAGUCUGACCGAGCAACGCCGCGUGAGUGAAGAAGGUGUUCGGAUCGUAAAACUCUGUUGUUAGAGAAGAACAAGGACGUUAGUAACUGAACGUCCCCUGACGGUAUCUAACCAGAAAGCCACGGCUAACUACGUG
rnacentral:rRNA from 1 species